rnacentral:rRNA from 1 species
AACCGCCACCGUCUCAGCCUGAAGGCGCCCGAUCUCGUCUGAUCUCGGAAGCUAAACAGGGUCGGGCCUGGUUAGUAUCUUGGAUGGGAGACCACCUGGGAAUCCCGGGUGCUCGAGGCUU